rnacentral:rRNA from 1 species
CCUACGGGGGGCUGCAGUGGGGAAUAUUGGACAAUGGGGGGAACCCUGAUCCAGCCAUGCCGCGUGUGUGAAGAAGGCCCUCGGGUUGUAAAGCACUUUCAGUGAGGAAGAACGCCUGGUGGUUAAUACCCAUCAGGAAAGACAUCACUCACAGAAGAAGCACCGGCUAACUCCGUGCCAGCAGCCGCGGUAAUACGGAGGGUGCGAGCGUUAAUCGGAAUUACUGGGCGUAAAGCGCGCGUAGGUGGCUUGAUAAGCCGGUUGUGAAAGCCCCGGGCUCAACCUGGGAACGGCAUCCGGAACUGUCAAGCUAGAGUGCAGGAGAGGAAGGUAGAAUUCCCGGUGUAGCGGUGAAAUGCGUAGAGAUCGGGCGGAAUACCAGUGGCGAAGGCGGCCUUCUGGACUGACACUGACACUGAGGUGCGAAAGCGUGGGUAGCAAACAGGAUUAGAUACCCUUGUAGUC